AAUAAAAAACUGUAAAUGAUAUGUGCUUUACAGAGGAAAACAAAGACAGCUUGACUGUAGCACGUUUCACUAGCGGCAAUGUAGAAAUAAUGAAGCCUCUCAAAGUAACUGAAACUCAUGUGAUAAUUGACAUCAGAGAUCUCUCCCACUUUGGCCUCUUAAAAAGGAUCAUCUUUCCUCCUUCCCCUGUCAUUGCCCAAGUACUUCUCUUUCUACGACCUAUAACUGAGAGACAGAGUGAAAACAUACUGGAUGUCCAUUUGCUCCCAUGGAACGUUCCACUGUCAAAGGUAAAGGACCAGCACACGGAAAAUACACACAUCAAAACCAGUUCAAAAUGUUCACUUACUCCAGAAUCAGAAUACUGUCUUUGUUGUCAACCAGAAGAAUCUACAGUGCAGCCAGCGUCAGAGACGUUUGAGUGUAAUUAUGGUCCAAACUAUCAUCCCACAUUUGAAGUGUUUGUGGAUGU